rnacentral:rRNA from 1 species
GAUGAACGCUGGCGGCGUGCCUAAUACAUGCAAGUCGAGCGAACGGGCGAGAAGCUUGCUUCUCUGAUGUUAGCGGCGGACGGGUGAGUAACACGUGGAUAACCUACCUAUAAGACUGGGAUAACUUCGGGAAACCGGAGCUAAUACCGGAUGAUAUUUUGAACCGCAUGGUUCAAAAGUGAAAGACGGUCUUGCUGUCACUUAUAGAUGGAUCCGCGCUGCAUUAGCUAGUUGGUAAGGUAACGGCUUACCAAGGCAACGAUGCAUAGCCGACCUGAGAGGGUGAUCGGCCACACGGGAACUGAGACACGGUCCAGACUCCUACGGGAGGCAGCAGUAGGGAAUCUUCCGCAAUGGGCGAAAGCCUGACGGAGCAACGCCGCGUGAGUGAUGAAGGUCUUCGGAUCGUAAAACUCUGUUAUUAGGGAAGAACAUAUGUGUAAGUAACUGUGCACAUCUUGACGGUACCUAAUCAGAAAGCCACGGCUAACUACGUG